ensembl:lncRNA
GGUCCUGUUCCCUUGCCGCCAUCCGGCGAUUCUGAAAGAGCUUAUUUCUAGCAAGAGUACCUUGUAAAAAGGUGUUACCAGCGACCUGCAUGUGCCAGAGGUGUAUAAGGACUUUGACAGCACUGUCCCUUUAUUGACCACAAUGGCGAUGUCCAGUGAUGAUUCGUUGGUGGAUUCUGCUUUUGGUAAAGUUCAGGCUGGGAGUGUUCUGUCAUACCAACAGCCAGCAGCAACAACACGUAACAUUACUCCACAUCAA